CUAUUUUAGCAUGACUAGUUAAUUUGUUCUUAUCUCCAAACAUGUGGGCAUCCUAUAUAAAAGGCAUCCAUUGGCAUUACACUAACAUAUCAGAAUCUGUAGAGCAUAGUUCUAGCGGCUAUAACAAGAGAUGAGGACUACACAAAUUCUACUCUUAGGCCUUGCCCUCGUCCUUCUAUCCUCGGGUAUCUUCAAUACCUACACGCCUUAUCUACAUGUUUUGUUAAGCCCUCUAACACAUGUGACAAUUUUCAUGCCUAAUGAUCUUCCUCUAUUCUCUCUUGAUAUUCAUCUAUAGGCAUCAUGGAAACCAUCGAGGCACGUGGAGCCUGCUGCCCUCAGAUCGAAAAGGGGAAGUGUAAUAACAAUGAUUGUGCGACUUAUUGCAAGAUGGUGAAUGGUUGGGAAUGGGGUUGUGUCCCUGAGGGAUGCACGUGUGUAUCGUGCUGGAAAGAUCCACAAUGCUCAGGGCCAGAAGUACCACCACCUUCAAGACACUUGAUGUAACAUUUUCUUUCAUGCUUGUGGUAUUACCAUACAAAAAAAUAUGAGUCCCGAGUAGACAAAUAAUGUGUGUCAAGUUUCAAAGUAGACAAAUAAUGUGUGUCAAGUUUCAAGGUCUAUGUGAGCAAAGAGAAAUAGCAAGACAUAUGUCGAGAAUUUCUCGGUCAUUGGAUGCCUUCUAGCAACCCAAUCUUGCUGAGUGACACGAGUCCCCUCUAUACUGCUGCCAAAUUGAUUCACACCUAAGGAUAUACAGGUGAACCACCUAAGUUAUGCCCAAUUUCCCACAUCUUAGGCAAGUCAAUGAAAUAGGUUGUCUUGGAUGGUUGUCUGCGAAACAUCCUCCUAUAAGAAGUAAAAAUGCAUGUGAUGG
rnacentral:lncRNA from 1 species